UUCCGGUUGAUCCCGCCGGACCCCACUGCUAUCGAGGUGGGACUAAGCCAUGCUAGUCGAACGAACAGAACUAUGUCUGUAAGUGGCAUACUGCUCAGUAACACGUAGCUAACCUACCCUUAGGACGUCGAUAACCCCGAGAAAUUGGGGCUAAUAAGCGAUAGGUGUGAUGUCCUGGAAUGGUAUCACGCCCAAAGGUAUUCCAUACAUGUUUGGUAUACGCCUAAGGAUGGGGCUGCGGCCGAUCAGGCUGUUGGUGAGGUAAUGGCUCACCAAACCUUUGACCGGUACGGGCCAUGAGAGUGGUAGCCCGGAGAUGGACACUGAAACAAGGGUCCAGGCCCUACGGGGCGCAGCAGGCGCGAAACCUCCUCAAUGCACUAACGUGCGAAGGGGUUACCUCGAGUGCCAUCUGAAAAAGAUGGCUUUUCCUUGGUCUAAAAAGCCUCGGGAAUAAGAGGGGGGCAAGACUGGUGUCAGCCGCCGCGGUAACACCAGCCCCUCGAGUGGUGGGGAUGAUUAUUUGGCCUAAAGCGUCCGUAGCCGGCCGGGUAAGUCUCCCGUUAAAUCUAACGUCUCAAGCGUUGGACUGCGGGAGAUACUGUCUGGCUAGAGAGUGGGAGAGGUAAGCGGUAUUCUGGGGGUAGGGGCGAAAUCCUUUGAUCCCCGGAGGACCACCAGUGGCGAAGGCUGCUGACUGGAACACGUCUGACGGUCAGGGACGAAAAGCUGGGGUAGCGAACCGGAUUAGAU
rnacentral:rRNA from 1 species